rnacentral:rRNA from 1 species
CCCAGACUCCUACGGGAGGCAGCAGUGGGGAAUAUUGCACAAUGGGGGAAACCCUGAUGCAGCGACGCCGCGUGAGUGAAGAAGUAUUUCGGUAUGUAAAGCUCUCUCAGCAGGGAAGAUAAUGACGGUACCUGAGUAAGAAGCCCCGGCUAACUACGUGCCAGCAGCCGCGGUAAUACGUAGGGGGCAAGCGUUAUCCGGAUUUACUGGGUGUAAAGGGAGCGUAGACGGCAUGGCAAGUCUGAAGUGAAAGCCCGGGGCUCAACCGCGGGACUGCUUUGGAAACUGUUAAGCUGGAGUGCAGGAGAGGUAAGUGGAAUUCCUAGUGUAGCGGUGAAAUGCGUAGAUAUUAGGAGGAACACCAGUGGCGAAGGCGGCUUACUGGACUGUAACUGACGUUGAGGCUCGAAAGCGUGGGGAGCAAACAGGAUUAGAUACCCUAGUAUGA